rnacentral:misc_RNA from 1 species
CUCGUUUUGUUCACCAGUUUCGAAAAAGUGACGACUACCCAUCAUCCAUGCUCCUUGGUGUUUGCUGUUUGGCGGGUAUUGAGCCCUGAGCCAUCAUAACCACAAGAUAUGCCAGUUUUUCUUGUGCUGGUAAUGGCCUGGCAACAGCAACAAUCUCUGUCUCGCUUGGAUAUUCAGCAUCCUGCUAGAAUUGGAGAAACUAAAGAUGUCGGCCGACUAUCUCUUCUUUCCUCUCGUUAAAUCCCCUCUGUCCUCGUGUACACCAGUGUGUGUGUGUAUUCACGAGACGCCCUUUUUCCUGGCCCACCUGAGUGGAUUCAGUUCUUCAGCGAAAGGAUCACUCGUAGAUGCCUCCUGGUCGGAUUUCCCAGGCUUAAAGGAUCGCAUAUCUAUCGCACAGAAAAUGGGAAUAUUCAUACCUGAUGCAUUGUUGUUUGACAAAGGAAGCUGGAGAAACUCUGACAGCGAGUUUGAUACCUAUUUGGCUUUAUAUAUGCGGAGAAUUCUGUGUAGUCGCCCAGGGAAGAGAUGACCGACUAACUGAAAUAUCCUCACGCAGGUGAUUGAUGUGGAUGGAAACAGGUUCUGACUGGAGGCUAAUGAGCAUGACCGUCGCUCAAAAGUUCUACCAGACUCUCAACGUUUCUUUUGCCUGUGAUGCCGUCCUCUUUGACGAUGAGAUCUGGACGACAAUUGCGUUACUCACCACGAAGGAAGUCAAUUCCAUCAUCAGUUGAGCGAGCGGUCGUUGUCGGACGAAUGCCAUCGCUCAGAUUUAAUGGGAACACUGAGGCAGAAUGCCAGUCCAUUUCUGUUUCCAUGUGCAAUUGAAUAUUCGCUCAUAUGCGCUGCCAUCAUGUACGAAAUCUGGAAUCACACUGGUAAAGAUUGUCACAACAGUUUGCAGCUGGCCCAUGCU